AUGGCAGAAGAAAUGAAAAGCCAAAAUUCACAACUAAGUCAACAGAUUGUCCCAAAGGCUGAAAAAGCUAAACAACCCAAGAAAGAUAUUAAAACACAGCUUAGGCAAAUGAAUAAGGAAAACCUUACCCAAAGGAGCAAAGCUCUUUCCUUUGCUGCUGCGGCCGCAGCCGUGAAUACGCUCAGGCUUCAGAAGAGGCUUGCCUCUAGUGUCCUCCACUGUGGCAAGAAGGAGGUCUGGUUGGACCCGAAUGAGACCAAUGAAAUCGCCAAUGCUAACUUGCGUCAGCAGAUCCGGAAGCUGAUCAAAGAUGGGUUGAUCAUCCACAAGCCUGUGACCGGGCUCGCUGCCGGAAAAACACCUUGGCCUGCGGGAAGGGCAGGCACAUGGGCAUAGGUAAGUGGAAAGGUACAGCCAAUGCCGGAAUGCCAGAGAAGGUCACGUGGAUGAGGAGAAUGAGGAUUCUGUGCCGGCUGCUCAGAAGAUACCGGGAAUCUAAGAAAAUUGAUCGCCCACAUGUAUCACAGCCUGUACCUGAAGGUGAAGGGGAAUGUGUUCAAAAACAAGCGGAUUCUCAUGGAACACAUCCACAAGCUGAAGGCAGACAAGGCCCACAAGAAGCUCCUGGCUGACCAGGCUGAGGCCCGCAGGUCUAAGACCAAGGAAGCAAGCGCCGUGAAGAGCGCCUCCAGGCCAAAAAGGAGAUCAUCCAAAACUUUGUCCAAGGAGGAAGAGACCAAGAAAUAAAAGCUCCCCCUUUGUCUGUACAUACUGGCCUCCGUGAUUACAUAGAUCAGCCAUUAAAAUAAAACGAGCCUUUAAAAAAAAAAAAAAAAAAAAAA